UGUAAGAUGGAAGUUGUCAGUGUGUCACUAAAUGCUUUACUAGCUUCAACAAAGUCUUCUUUACAAAAUAGUUUGGAAGUCGCAAAAGGAACCGAUGUCAGUAAAAUAACUAUAAAUUUGCCUUCUUUACCACUAUCGCAUGCUUCAAGUGGAGAAUCCUCCGAACGCAGUUUGCCUUUUACCGUUCCUCCUACAACUCCAGCUGCCCAAUUCUCCUUCUCGCAUAUUAUCAGUCCUAUAGUGUAUCCUUUUCCUAAAUUAGAUAAUUUCAAAUUUCCCUAUAUCCGCGAGGUUGGUAUUAAAAGCUGUAUUGAAAUCUUGAGUGUGUAUUUUUCAUGUCAAAAUUACACGCAGAAUACUGCACAGUUUUGGUUUUUGGACCUUCUCACCGACUGUCUUUGGAAAUUACAAGACGAAUAUCAUUUUCCUGAACAUUAUCAAAAAAUUAUUAUCGAAUGGAUUCUCUUCGUUCUUGACUUGAUACGAGGUUUAUUUUCAACUAUUUAAUAAGAAGCAGUUUUUUCAGAUUUUUAAUGAAGCGGUGUGUAUUGCUAAUGAAAAAGUUCAAGCUGGAUGUAAAUUUCUGCCGACACCGGAGAAUUUGUUGACUUCUUUACAAGAAGGAGAAGAAGAAGAAAUUAGUUUUCCUUCACAAAGCGGACAAAAUUCAAGUAUUUUAUUAACAUCAAAUGGAGAAAGUUAUGUUGCGAUUGGUAUUGACGAGAACACUGAAAUUUUUAAGUUACUUAAACCUGCUCCUAAAUGUUUUAAAUACGAAUAUUCACUUGACAACAGUUGGCUUAACGAAAACGACUCAAAAAAUUAUUUGUGUGGAUGCGAGGAUUCUGUCAAUUUUUAUCAACCGAACAAUGAUACUCCUGAAAGAUUUUUGUCUUCUUCAUCGUCAUCAUCAUUUUAUUCUGUUCCAGAUGAAGACGGUUUACCUUCAGACAAACCGGAUUUUCUAUGGAAACGUUCGUCUUUCUCUUCUGAACAAUUUUCUAAGACUUGUUCGACGCAAAGAAAUUAUUUUAGAACAUCCAGUUCACAAAACUUAGUUCCUCAUAAUACUAUAAUAGAUGAAUGGACAAAUUAUUUGGAUGAACAUAAUGAUUACAUUCAAGAUUUGGAAAAAAAUUUAAUGAUUAAUGGUUGUGCUUUAUUUGCAAUUAAACAAUUUGUACAUGAUUACUUUUAUGAAAAUUUUCAAUACACAGUUAUUCAACUAGCAUUGAUUAAUAAUUUCACUUCAAUUACACAGAAUAUCAAUACUCAAUGGAAUGUUCCCAAAGUGUUGAAAGAGGAACUAAAAAAGCCAAAAUUAAAAAAAGAAAGAAAGAAAAAAAAGAAAAAAGAGAAAAAGAAAAAGAAACCAACUAAAAAAACUAAAAGUAAACAAGACAAGCGUAAGAAAAAGAAAGAUAAAUUAAAAAGAAAGGCAAAGAAAAAUGCCAAACAAAAAAAGAAGAAAUUAACAAAGGAGGAAAAAGCUGAUUUGCUUCGACAAAGACGUGAACAAGAACGGCUAGAAGAAGAGCUCAGAAGAGCCGAAGAAAACCGUCGUAUGCUAUUUCCACUAAAGGAAGCUACCGAUGACAACUUUUUCCAUUCUAUUUUUGAACAUUGGGUCAAGCCUAAGCAAAAAAAGAAGGCUGGAAGUAAAAAGAGCAUAAAAAAGAAAAAGUAGCUUUGAGCUCUAUCUGUCGGUUGGAAGUCAAACACAGCUUUUCAUGUUGCCAGAACACCGACAAUAAAAAUAGA